UACGUAGGGGGCGAGCGUUGUCCGGAAUUAUUGGGCGUAAAGAGCGUGUAGGCGGCCAGGUAGGUCAGCUGUGAAAACUCGAGGCUCAACCUCGAGACGUCGGUUGAAACCAUCUGGCUAGAGUCCGGAAGAGGAGAGUGGAAUUCCUGGUGUAGCGGUGAAAUGCGCAGAUAUCAGGAAGAACACCCGUGGCGAAGGCGGCUCUCUGGGACGGUACUGACGCUGAGACGCGAAAGCGUGGGGAGCGAACAGG
rnacentral:rRNA from 1 species